GUGCCAGCAGCCGCGGUAAUACGUAGGAUCCGAGCGUUAUCCGAAUUUACUGGGCGUAAAGCGUGUGUAGGCGGUUUGAUAAGUUGGAUGUGAAAGCUCCCGGCUCAACUGGGAGAGGCCGUUCAAAACUAUCAGACUAGAGGACGGUAGAGGAAGGUAGAAUUCCCGGUGUAGUAGUGAAAUGCGUAGAUAUCGGGAGGAAUACCAGUGGCGAAGGCGGCCUUCUGGACCGUUCCUGACGCUCAGACACGAAAGCUAGGGGAGCGAACGGGAUUAGAUACCCCCGUAGUCC
rnacentral:rRNA from 1 species